rnacentral:rRNA from 1 species
AUGAACGCUGGCGGCGUGCCUAAUACCUGCAAGUCGCGCGCACGGACGAGAAGCUUGCUUCUCUGAUGUUAGCGGCGGACGGGUGAGUAACACGUGGAUAACCUACCUAUAAGACUGGGAUAACUUCGGGAAACCGGAGCUAAUACCGGAUAAUAUUUUGAACCGCAUGGUUCAAAAGUGAAAGACGGUCUUGCUGUCACUUAUAGAUGGAUCCGCGCUGCAUUAGCUAGUUGGUAAGGUAACGGCUUACCAAGGCAACGAUGCAUAGCCGACCUGAGAGGGUGAUCGGCCACACUGGAACUGAGACACGGUCCAGACUCCUACGGGAGGCAGCAGUAGGGAAUCUUCCGCAAUGGGCGAAAGCCUGACGGAGCAACGCCGCGUGAGUGAUGAAGGUCUUCGGAUCGUAAAACUCUGUUAUUAGGGAAGAACAUAUGUGUAAGUAACUGUGCACAUCUUGACGGUACCUAAUCAGAAAGCCACGGCGAACUACGU